rnacentral:rRNA from 1 species
UGGAAUCAGCGACUGGGGUGAAGUCGUAACAAGGUAACCGUAGGAGAACCUGCGGUUGGAUCACCUCCUUUCUAGA